UGUAAGGGCGAUCUGCUUGCAACAUCUGUCAUCUACGUUGUCUGGCUCCAACAUCUGUCACCCCAGGGAAGCCCCAGUUGAUUGGCCAGUCUACUCCCUUCCUCCCUCACAACACUGCAUCACUCCUUCCCAAGGCAAGCCCUCCAUGGUCUUGUCUGGUAGAGGAGGGCUGUCCUUUGGUCAGGGUGUGUGAGUACUGCACCCCCCUGCGACAGCCUCCAAAUAAAUUCUCAACCUUAGUGUUCGCCUUUGGGGUGAGGGGCAGGGAAGAGAGUAGGAGUUACGCAGGGGAGUUGCUCUUCACU
rnacentral:snRNA from 1 species